UUCCUUCAUAUAUUGCUGCAAACAGAAAAAGAAAAAGAAAGAGUGGAUGUUUCAGGCUUUAAUCAAACCUCGUGGUAGCCUAACAAGAAGCAUAUUCAAGAUAUCAAUUACAACUGCAGUGUUUCAGGUACCUGACUGAGUCUCGACACGUCAGAUGUUGGACAGAAAAGGAAUUAAAGAGGAUUAUUGAAGGAAACAACACAGAAAGGGAUGGAACUUGGAAGGCUUAACAAUGAUGGUGUGGGUUCAACUAAACGCAGUCUCUCAUACGAACUCCCACGUAAAGUUUUUUUUUUUUCUUUUUUCUUUUUAAACAAUAAACACACUAUAAAUAUCCAGCAAGAAGUGCAUCAAGAGAUAGGCCCAAACCUCAAUUCAAAAGAGAUAA